rnacentral:rRNA from 1 species
GGAACGAACGCUGGCGGCAUGCCUAAUACAUGCAAGUCGAACGAACUCUUCGGAGUUAGUGGCGCACGGGUGCGUAACGCGUGGGAAUCUGCCCCUUGGUUCGGAAUAACAGUUGGAAACGACUGCUAAUACCGGAUGAUGACGAAAGUCCAAAGAUUUAUCGCCAAGGGAUGAGCCCGCGUAGGAUUAGCUAGUUGGUGAGGUAAAGGCUCACCAAGGCAACGAUCCUUAGCUGGUCUGAGAGGAUGAUCAGCCACACUGGGACUGAGACACGGCCCAGACUCCUACGGGAGGCAGCAGUAGGGAAUAUUGGACAAGUGGGCGAAAGCUGAUCCAGCAAUGCCGCGUGAGUGAAGUG